GACGAACGCUGGCGGCGUGCUUAACACAUGCAAGUCGAACGCUGAAGCUUGGUGCUUGCACUGGGUGGAUGAGUGGCGAACGGGUGAGUAAUACGUGAGUAACCUGCCCUUGACUCUGGGAUAAGCCUGGGAAACUGGGUCUAAUACUGGAUACGACAUGUCACCGCAUGGUGGUGUGUGGAAAGGGUUUUACUGGUUUUGGAUGGGCUCACGGCCUAUCAGCUUGUUGGUGGGGUAAUGGCUCACCAAGGCGACGACGGGUAGCCGGCCUGAGAGGGUGACCGGCCACACUGGGACUGAGACACGGCCCAGACUCCAACGGGAGGCAGCAGUGGGGAAUAUUGCACAAUGGGCGGAAGCCUGAUGCAGCGACGCCGCGUGAGGGAUGACGGCCUUCGGGUUGUAAACCACUUUCAGCACGGAAGAAGCGAAAGUGACGGUACGUGCAGAAGAAGCGCCGGCUAACUACGUG
rnacentral:rRNA from 1 species